rnacentral:rRNA from 1 species
CCUACGGGUGGCAGCAGUGGGGAAUAUUGGGCAAUGGGCGCAAGCCUGAACCAGCAACGCCGCGUGAAGGAAGAAGGCUCUCGGGUUGUUAACCUCUUUUUUCAGGGACGUAGAAAGUGACGGUACCUGAGGUAUAAGCCACGGCUAACUACGUGCCAGCAGCCGCGGUAAUCCGUCGGAGGCGAGCGUUAUCCGGAUUUACUGGGUGUAAAGGGCGUGUAGGCGGGAAAGCAAGUCAGAUGUGAAAUCCAUGGGCUCAACCUGUGGCCUGCAUUUGACACUGUUUUUCUUGAGUACUGGAGAGGCAGGCGGAAUUCGUGGUGUAGCGGUGAAAUGCGUAGAUAUUAGGAGGAACACCGGUGGCGAAGGCAGUCUGCUGGACAGCAACUGACGCUGAGGCGCGAAAGCGUGGGGAUCAAACAGGAUUAGAUACCCGAGUAGUC